rnacentral:misc_RNA from 1 species
AACGCACAUUGCGCCCCUUGGUAUUCCAUGGGGCAUGCCUGUUCGAGCGUCAUUUGUACCCUCAAGCUCUGCUUGGUGUUGGGUGUUUGUCCACUCCCUGGUGUCUGGACUCGCCUUAAAGCAAUUGGCAGCCAGUGUUUUGGUAUUGAAGCGCAGCACAUUUUGCGUCUCGAGCCUAGAACGCUUGCGUCCAGUAAGCCUUUUUCCACUUUUGACCUCGGAUCAGGUAGGGAUACCCGCUGAACUUAA